UUGGAAGGGGAUCUUGGUUUUUUUUAUUAUAAAAGAAACCCCAGGAGUUACGUCUUAUUCCCGAGGAGAUGUUUGAUCUCCCUAGUCUAGGGACUUCUUGUAAGGGCCCCUUAUUUAUGGAAUGGGUAAUGUGUUAAAGGAUAGCUUAGGUACUGCAGUUGGUUUGGAAUUAGACUACCUUAAUAUCAGACAUCAAAGACAACACAGAAUCCAAGUCCAAGACUUGAGUGAUAAUGCUAGAGAACGUAUCCUUCUUGGCAA
rnacentral:lncRNA from 1 species